UUCACCUUGGCAAAGCUUCCUAUACAAACCUGUGAUCAUAUGCCUUUGUUUUCUCACUUCAGGUACAAGAGAGGUGAGCACAAGAUGGGCCAAAUAUGAGAUGUGGAAUCAGGAAAAACAGAAAAAGUGGAAGAAAUGGCAAACGUGGACGUGAGAGCAGCUGGGUUUUCUAGCUCUGGGCGUCUGCAGGAAUCAUGUUCCAGGAAGGGCUGGGAGAGGCUGCGGGGAAAAGGAAGGGGUGCAGGGGAGUGUGCCCCACCCUUGCCCUGUGCCUGCAGGUGGGCCGGACUUGGACCCUGCCUGGAUGAUCUGCGAAGAAAUAGGGUUCCAAAAGGGCAGAUCCCAAGACAAUGCCUUAUAAAGGUCCUGGCUAACGUUUCCAUGGCAGCUUGCUGAGUGGCCGAGCUGAUCUCAGCCCUUCCAGGGGUGACUCAUUGACUCCUCCCAAGCUGGAGAGGUAGCUGGAGACCACCCUGGCUGAGCUGUGAUCAGUCGCAUCUAGACUAGUUUGGUGUUUCAGAGCAAGUCUCUCAAAUGCCCUGUGCCUCAAUGCUCUCAUCUGCACGUUGGAAGAAAGAAUUCCUGCUUCCCAGAGCCGUUGGGAGGAGUAACAGAGGUGAAGUGUGUAAAGUACACACGAAAGGAACUCAGCUGACAGCAGCAUCUUCACUGGUACCCUUAUCGUUGUUUUAAUUAUUGCAUUGUCGUCCAAGCUGAUGGACUGAGGGGGGUCAUUCCAGUGGACACGGGGGAGCUGAGCUGUGAGGGUCCUGGAUUGCGUGGGGCCAUGUCUGACCUGCAGAUGCUGCAGAGUUUGGGUCGAGUUACACGUGGAAUUGGGGAAUCCCCACUGAAGGGCGCUCUCUGGCCUUUUAGUGGCCACGGUUUGCAAUUUCUUGAGCCAGGGUCACCCUGAACAUUCAUUUCAAGAAACAGGCUGAUUUCACGUAGCUUCUUUCUGACUAAUAAAUUCAAACCAUCCUUCUCCUGAAUCCACCUCAGCCUGGGCCUGAGCAACACGUGGCAUGCUGGGUUUGCUCUGAGCACCUGCUCUGGAGACCCAGAGCCUUUGUUGACCUUCUGCUGGUCAAUGGAAGCCCUGCAGUGGAGGCUCCAGGGAGUGUGCACACCGCGCCUUCACCAGCGCUGGGACCCCAGACCCAAAACUCUGAGGGAAUUCCAGCUUGCAUGAGGUUGGGGCACUCAGGAGACAGACCUCCUGGGCUCCAGGGGCUUUGCAGGCUGCUGGCCAGUGGAAGACCAGCUGCGACCCACUCUCUGCCAGGCUGGGGCUGCACAGAUGCCCAAGGACAGGGCUUCAUGCCUCACACAACUUUCUGAUUAAAAGGCAAUCAAUUAAAAUAAAUCCCUUCGUUUCUAGGGAAGCCCCAUCACACAGGCAUCAUCUGGGCUUGCGUUCUGACAUCAGGGGAAGCUGUGAAAUCACACAGCAAUAAAUAAUAAAGGCUUGAGAUUAAAGUGCUGAUCCUUAUUCCCAAAUUGAUUUUAAAUAUAAUGAGGGUUAUUAUUUAUACAAUGAUCCAGUAAAACUUAAAGUUCAUUAAAUGUCUCUCUGAGUCUUUGAUUAUUUUUUAACUGAUUUGGCCAAUAUCUGUAAGUGUUUUCUAUUAUCCAAACCAUAUUUAUACCUAUAUAUCUAUGUCUAUAUCUAUAUCUAUCUAUGUAUAUCCCAUACAAAUA
rnacentral:lncRNA from 1 species